rnacentral:lncRNA from 1 species
GGGGUAUACACAGAGAUACAGCAGCUGUGAAAUGACAGCAUUUUUGCCUUCAGAUUGUAGGCUUCAUUUUAGCGUUUUUUAAUCCAGUGAAUAAACUUGGAACUGAGAGAGGAAGGGAAAGUUGUUUGCCUUUUCUCAAGGACAAAAUAGAGUGGGGAGUUCUCAAGUUGCCUGUUCUUUGCCACUAAAUCAUGCUUUUCUGUUUUCUUUGAGUGUAUGACCCUCCCUGUGACAAUGGUUUUAUCCUGCAGUACCUAUGGUAUCUUCAUCAGCCCUUGGUGUUUCAUGAAGAAAUCCAUCGAGUACAGGAAAUAUAAAAUACAGAGGAACUUUAUUAAUAGCCUGUGGAAGUACCUUGGUGUGAGGGCAGAAUCAUUUGAGACUGAUGUCUUCAUAUUGAUGCUGUGCUGCUUUUCAGCACGACCAGCAGAUGGAGAAAAAGAAAGCUGCAGAUACACCAUGUUCAGAAAGUGA